rfam:Paraphaeosphaeria sporulosa strain AP3s5-JAC2a unplaced genomic scaffold CC84scaffold_3, whole genome shotgun sequence.
GCGCCGUUGGUGCAGUGGUUAGCAUACUGCCUUCCCAGUGCUUUGCGGCUGAGAGGCAGGGGUCCGGGGUUCGAACCCCCGACGGCGCA